rnacentral:rRNA from 1 species
AUGAACGCUGGCGGCGUGCCUAACACAUGCAAGUCGAACGGAGUCCAGCCUUAGAGACCUUCGGGUCAAAGAGGGGAAGACUGAGUGGCGGACGGGUGAGUAACACGUGGGCAACCUGGCUCAUAGAGGGGGAUAACAGAGAGAAAUUUCUGCUAAUACCGCAUAAGCACACACUGCCGCAUGGCAGAGUGUGAAAAGAGAAUCGCUAUGAGAUGGACCCGCGUCUGAUUAGCCAGUUGGCAGGGUAAGAGCCUACCAAAGCGACGAUCAGUAGCCGAUUUGAGAGGAUGAACGGCCACAUUGGGACUGAGACACGGCCCAAACUCCUACGGGAAGCAGCAGUGGGGGAUAUUGCACAAUGGGGGGAACCCUGAUGCAGCGACGCCGCGUGAGUGAAGAAGUAUUUCGGUAUGUAAAGCUCUAUCAGCAGGGAAGAUAAUGACAGUACCUGAAUAAGAAGCCCCGGCUAACUACGUG